rnacentral:rRNA from 1 species
AGAGAUGUGUGAUGACGCAUAUCAAUAAGCGGAGGAAAAGAAACUAACAAGGAUUCCCCUAGUAACGGCGAGUGAAGCGGGAAGAGCUCAAAUUUGAAAUCUUCAAGGGUUUCCCUUGACGAAUUGUAGUUUAAAGAAGUGUUUUCUGUUAGAGAGGUGGUAAAAGUUCUUUGGAAUAGGACAUCAUAGAGGGUGAGAAUCCCGUAUUUGAUCACUUUCUACUAACGUUGUGAUACACUUUCAAAGAGUCGGAUUGUUUGGGAAUGCCGUCCAAAAUGGGUGGUAAAUUUCAUCUAAAGCUAAAUAUUGGCGAGAGACCGAUAGCGAACAAGUACCGUGAGGGAAAGAUGAAAAGAACUUUGGAAAGAGAGUUAAACAGUACGUGAAAUUGUCAAAAGGGAAGCGUUUGACACCAGUGUUGUUUUUCCGAAAAUCAAUUACUGAAUGGUUUGAUUUUAGAGUUCAUGACCUUCAUAAGGCUUGCUUCUCUCUUUAUGUACUUUCGUAAUGCACUUUUCGGUUAACAAGUCAACAUCAAUUUCUCUUUGUUGUAAAAGGGUAAUGAGGAAGGUGGCUUUACUUUCGGAGUAAAGUGUUUAUAGCCUUUUAGCCUCUGCAAUCGGAGAGAUUGAGGUCUGCAGCGUAGAUCCUUCGGGGUUAGAUACAGUUUGUGCUAAGUUAUAGCUUUUCAUAGACAACUUGUUGACUAUGUUUAGUCUUGUAGCUUACUCGCUUAUGCUAUUUUACCUACGCUUAGGAUGUUGAAGAUGUAGCACAUCAU